CAGUUCAAGAAUAAUCCUUCCUUCACCCUUCUUCCCUCUUUCUUAACUUCGUAAACGACUAAACAAAAUCUUCAUCAAAUUCCCAAAUUCUUUCCUUUAACCUCACUCCUACAACCUUUUUCAAAUCCUCAAAGAUUCCGAAAACUCCAUUUCAACUUCACAGAAGUUGGAUUGAAGAGACGGAGGAAGAUAGAGAAGCUGGAGCUGGUGGUGGUACUAUAGUAGGAGUUGUUAGUGAUGGAGGAGGAGGAGGAGAACUGUUGCUCGACGCAGCUAAUCGACGGCAACGGCGAAUUUAACUUUGUUGGAUUGGAGAAGUUCAUGAAAGCUAUGAAGUUUUCUCAGUGCGGCCUCUCCUACGCUGUUGUCGCAAUUAUGGGACCUCAGAGCAGUGGGAAGAGUACUCUGUUAAACCAUCUAUUCUAUACAAACUUGAGGGAGAUGGAUGCUUUUAAGGGAAGGAGUCAAACUACAAAGGGCAUUUGGAUAGCAAAGGCAGUGGGUAUCGAGCCCUUUACAGUAGUGAUGGAUUUGGAGGGCACUGAUGGCCGCGAGAGGGGCGAGGUGGAUGACACAACAUUUGAGAAGCAGAGUGCACUAUUUGCUUUGGCUGUUGCAGAUGUUGUUAUAAUAAACAUGUGGUGCCAUGACAUUGGUCGAGAGCAGGCUUCCAAUAAACCACUUCUAAAAAUUGUAUUUCAGGUUAUGAUGCGCCUGUUUAGUCCGCGAAAAACGACACUUCUAUUCGUUAUACGUGAUAAAACAAAGACGCCUUUCGAAUAUUUGGAACCUAUCCUGAGGGAGGACAUUCAAAAGAUAUGGGAUACAGUUUCAAAGCCUCCGGCCCACAUGGACACCCCUCUCAGUGAAUUUUUCAAUGUUGAAGUCACUGCCUUAUCCAGCUUUGAAGAGAGGGAAGAACAAUUUAAAGAGCAGGUUGCACAACUAAGGCAGCGGUUUUUCAAUUCCAUAUAUCCAGGAGGGAUUGCUGGUGACAGAAGAGCUGUUGUUCCUGCCUCUGGAUUUUCUUUUAGUACACGGCAGAUAUGGAAAGUUAUUAAAGAAAAUAAGGAUCUUGAUCUCCCAGCCCACAAGGUCAUGGUUGCUACAGUACGAUGUGAAGAGAUUGCAAAUGAGAAGUUCAGUCUAUUGGCAUCUGAUGAGGAUUGGUUGGCUUUGGAGCAAGCAGUCCAUGCUGGUCCAGUUCAGGGUUUUGGGAGGAAGCUGAGCUCAAUCUUGGAUGCAUAUCUAUCUGAAUAUGAUAUGGAGGCUGUCUACUUUGAAGAAGGUGUCAGAAAUGCCAAGCGUCUGCUGUUGAAGUCAAAAACAUUACAGUUGGUCCAUCCUGCUUACAUUACUUUGUUGGGGCAUCUGCGUUCUAGUGCACUUACGAAUUUCAAAAUUCAACUUGAGCAAAAAUUAUCUAGAGGAGAAGGGUUUGUGGCUUCUGUUAAUAGUUGUAUGCAAUCCUCAAUGCUCGAGUUUGACAAGCAUUGUUCAGAUGCUGUGAUAAAGCAUGCUGAUUGGGAUGCAUCUAAAAUUCGUGAGAAGCUUCAACGUGAUAUGCAGGCUCAUGCAUCUUCUGUUCGUGCUGAAAAGUUGUCACAACUGAUUGCUAAAUUUGAGAAACAACUUAGUGCAAGACUUGGUGAACCAGUGGAAUCCCUUUUUGACACUGGUGGCAAAGACACGUGGGCUUCAAUAAGAAGGCUUCUGAGACGUGAGACAGACGCAGCUGUAUCAGGCUUUUCCACAGCCGCUGCUGGUUUCGAACUGGAUCAGGAAGGAUUUGGCAAAAUGGUCCAGAAUUUGAGGGACUAUGCUAGAAGUGUUGUCGUUAAGGAAGCUAGAGAGCAAUCUGGGAAAGCUGUUAUUCAUAUGAAGGACAAGUUUAUAAUGGUUUUCAACCAUGAUAAUGAUUCAUUGCCAAGGGUAUGGACUGGGAAGGAGGACAUUAAAGCAAUUACACAUGAGGCACGCUCUGCGGCUGUCAGCAUUUUGUCAGUGUUGGCUGCUGUACGCUUGGAUGAGAAACCAGAUAAGAUAGAGAAUGUCCUGUCCUCUAUGCUUAUUGAUGGCUCAGUUGCCAUAUCUUCCCGGAGUAGAGGUGCUGGAAUUAUUGGAGAUCCUCUUGCCUCAAGCACAUGGGAAGGGGUGCCCCCCGAGAACACACUAAUUAGUCCAGUGCAGUGCAAGUCUAUAUGGAGAACAUUUACUGCAGAAACAGAAUAUGUGGUUACACAAGCUAUAUCUGCACGGGAGGCAUACAAGCGCAGCAAUAAUUGGCUACCUCCUGCUUGGGCUAUCAUGGCAAUGGUUGUGCUUGGAUUUAAUGAGUUCAUGUUUCUUUUGAGGAAUCCUCUUUACAUGCUGGCCCUGUUUGUUAUAUAUUUAUUUGGGAGAGCCAUAUGGGAACAGAUGGACAUUCCUGGGGAGUUUCGAAAUGGCACCAAGGUAGAAUAAAGGAAGACACAUAGAGCUGGCUAAUUGGGGUCUGUGAGAAAGAUACCUGCUUCCAUUCUCCCUGUCCUACUCUGAUCCUAUAUGAGAUAAAUUUAUGCUGAUCGAAUUCUUUCGGAAAAUUCAGCUGGCUGGACUAAUUUCCGUCGCUUCAAGGUUCUUUCCUACAGUUAUGAUUCUUCUGAGGCAACUUGCUGCCAAAGCUCAAGGGCACCCAGAUCAUGAACCAGCCACACACACUCAAACUCUAGCUUCUCAGAGUUUCAGAAGUCAGACACCAACACGCACCACAACAUCUAGCUCAACUAUGGAUUCAUCUGUUUCUUCCAACGAUUCAAGUGAAACUGGUGGUGAGUACUCGAGUCCUCAGCUAACUCGCAGAAGAGUAACAAAUGUGGAACACGAGGAGUUUUCUUGAUCCAAAAGUUCGUAUUCUGACACAUCUAUGUAUAAUUUGUUAUGUUUAUAGAAUAAAUGCUUCCAGUUUCCUGUGUUUUUCCAUUUUUGUUUUGGGGCUCAGUUCUUUGACGUUUUCACCAUUUGAAAUCGGGAGAAAUUGUAUGGUGGGUUAGAGCGAUGCAUGCAAAUGGUGGAAUACAUGUACUUAGACGUUCCAACUAUAAGCAUCUGCGAACAACAACGAGGUAAAAAGGAAAUUUGGUUCUCAUUUUUGUUUGGAUAA